UACGGACAUGUCAAGUUGAAACACCGCUUCCCAUACGAUCGCCGAAGUUAAGCAACGUCGAGCCUGGUCAGUACCUAGAUGGCAGACCGUUUGGGAAUACCAGAU